UGCUUAUUGAUCUAUCAUGUUCUUCCUCUCUGAUGCUGCUUCCACAGCUCUGUGCUCCAGAGCCACCUGGGGGCUGGGGGUGGAAUGAUAAUGUGCAACUUCAGUGUGGAACAGUAUGCCUGUGCUCAUCUGGGAGAUUUCACUGCGGCAGACCUUGUCUCACUGUUGCAAUGCAAGCUGUCCAGCAACAUGGCCUACUCUAAGGAGACGUGGAAGGUGCUUCUCACCAAAACCUCUGCAGUCCUGGAUGAAGCACUUGGCAUCCUAUCGAACAUGUCUGUGACCUUCAGCGGUCCGUCGGUUCCUCUGGUUCUGGACGUGAUCAGGGAGAUGCGCUUCGACCUGCUCGAUCAGCAGCAGCUGCAGGACGUGGACGUCGUCUCGGCCUGGUUCGCGGGCCACCUGAGGCCCUUCCUCUCCUCCGCCUCAGGGGUCUUCCUGCACUGUGUCAGCAGCAGGGAGCUCAGUUGCGCCACCUACC
rnacentral:lncRNA from 1 species